GACGAACGCUGGCGGCGUGCUUAACACAUGCAAGUCGAACGGAAAGGCCCUGCUUUUGUGGGGUGCUCGAGUGGCGAACGGGUGAGUAACACGUGAGUAACCUGCCCUUGACUUUUGGAUAACUUCAGGAAACUGGGGCUAAUACCGGAUAGGAGCUCCUGCUGCAUGGUGGGGGUUGGAAAGUUUCGGCGGUUGGGGAUGGACUCGCGGCUUAUCAGCUUGUUGGUGGGGUAGUGGCUUACCAAGGCUUUGACGGGUAGCCGGCCUGAGAGGGUGACCGGCCACAUUGGGACUGAGAUACGGCCCAGACUCCUACGGGAGGCAGCAGUGGGGAAUAUUGCACAAUGGGCGGAAGCCUGAUGCAGCAACGCCGCGUGCGGGAUGACGGCCUUCGGGUUGUAAACCGCUUUCGCCUGUGACGAAGCGUGAGUGACGGUAAUGGGUAAAGAAGCACCGGCUAACUACGU
rnacentral:rRNA from 1 species